rnacentral:rRNA from 1 species
UACGAAGGGUGCAAGCGUUACUCGGAAUUACUGGGCGUAAAGCGUGCGUAGGUGGUUUGUUAAGUCUGUUGUGAAAGCCCCGGGCUCAACCUGGGAAUGGCAAUGGAUACUGGCAGGCUAGAGUGCGGUAGAGGGUAGUGGAAUUCCCGGUGUAGUGGUGAAAUGCGUAGAGAUCGGGAGGAACACCAGUGGCGAAGGCGGCCGGCUGGGGGUGACCUGACGCUGAGGCGCGAAAGCGUGGGGAGCGAACCGG